rnacentral:rRNA from 1 species
UACGUAGGGUGCAAGCGUUGUCCGGAAUUAUUGGGCGUAAAGAGCUCGUCGGCGGUUCGUCACGUCGGCUGUGAAAUCCCGAGGCUCAACCUCGGGUCUGCAGUCGAUACGGGCGGACUUGAGUACUGCAGGGGAGACUGGAAUUCCUGGUGUAGCGGUGAAAUGCGCAGAUAUCAGGAGGAACACCGGUGGCGAAGGCGGGUCUCUGGGCAGUAACUGACGCUGAGGAGCGAAAGCGUGGGGAGCGAACAGG